ACUGUGGGUGUCGUUUCCCUGCACCUUCACCAAUGCAGUAUAAAAGAAACAGGCUGCGUAAGGAUGCUUUUUGUUAAUCGUGUUUUUAAUUAAAAUGCACGUAGGUGAACAACACGAUGCAUCGACCCUGAGGCCAGUGGGACAGGCAGCCGAUCUGAUCCGCCGCUUAUGGCAACUAAAUCAACGAGUCUGAUAGUUUACUCAAUGCAAUAUUCACGGUAGAUGGCAAUUUCCCCAGCGAAAGCACUGCCUUGGAGGAAAUGGCUUAGAACGGUACGUGACUAUAGCCACAGGCCCAUCGCGUCGAAUUUACCAUGGCACCCCUUCCAUGCGGAAGACGAACGAAAGGGAAGAAUCCUGAGCUACAACAGUGAACAGUGAAAUGAUCUUACUACUUCCUUUGAGAUUUUUGACACUUCGAGAAAAGUCUUCUUGCGUUGCAAUAUUCAGAAGUGGUCUCUGUCUUCUACAAGAUCAUUUAAUCGAAAUACAGGGUGGUUCAGUGCGGUUUCAUGCUGGAUUUGUGACCUUCAAUACCCGCUGCUUCUUCUGCUGGUCAGCGAGAGCUGUCAUACCGGCUGAUGUCUUCGGCCGUGUUUUUCCUCGUCCCUAUUGUUGUGUCAUAUAGGCACCCUGAGCUGUGGCAAAUCAGCGGCCCAUCGACCAGAGGCGCCCGGGGGAGCUGCUGUUUGCUGAGAGUCAGAACAAGAAUUCCAUUGUGCCCGGAAGGUUGGCGCGCCGCUGCAAUCGCCGCCCGUCGCCGCCAGCCUUUUACGCCAGCAGAGGUCACCGCUGUGAGGUUCCACGGUUAAAACGAGACGGGUCUGGAGGCCUCACCUUUCCCAUGUAAUUGAACCGAAGCAGCAGCGUGGUUCUGUGGGAGUCGCUGGCAGAGUGGGGAACACCAGCCCUCAGCUUCCGCAUUCACUGGGACACACUGGUUGAAAGAUGUAGCUGUUUAUCAGAGCUGACAGAAUUUAUUGCCAAGCCCUGGAACCAGUGUAUUAACAGCACGGAGAAAGAAAACUGACAACACAGCUGGAAUUUCAUUGGUCGAGCUGUGUGGGUAAGACCACCAGAAUAAGCAGUUAAAAAAGGGAACAGUUAUUUUAUUUAAAAAAAAAAAAAACAACAACAUUUAUUUGAGGAAGUUCUCUAUAUGACUCCUGAGUUUAUGUGUUUCCUUUUAAUAUUACUGACCACCCCCCCCCCUACCCAUCACAGGACACAGAGAGAGGUCGACUGCGACUUCUCCCAGCAGCAUAGACCGCACACCUGCCACUGGAUCCAGGGCGUGGGUGGGGGGGGAGGGGGGCAGUGGACUCAAGAAUUCUGGAGGAGGAUGCCAGUCGCUUUGGUUCUGGUGUAGGUUUUGCUGAUGCGUGCGUGUGCAAAUUUAUAUACGCAGAAAGCACUGCCAGUCAGUCUCCUGAGGACCAACUAAAGACAGUUUUCUGAUGCAGCUUGGUCUAGGUCAUGCCGUACACCUUUGUCGUUGGUACUAUGGUACUACAGAAAGAGACAAAGCGAAAAAGAUAAAGUAAUGAAGAAGUGUGUGUAUUUAUAUAUAUAUAAAUAUCAACCAUAGAGCUGCCCAAUAAAAAUAUUUGUAUAUUUCUUUAAGGUCUUAUAUGACAAGUCACACGAACCAAAAAUCAUUUAAAUGCAAGCGAGCUUUUCAUAGUACAGCAACAGAAACUGUCUAUCUUACCAACAGGUAUUGAGACACAUGGGUAUGGGGACAAAAGGAAAUGUAUACCUUCAAAGAUAAUAACUGCAGGGUACAGUGUUGACGGUCCUUCCAGGUAAUCUUUCAGAGCGUGCUUAUUACUCUGUAACAAGGGAGGUGCUCCUUAAUCAAACUGGCCGAUAUUCUUAUUGGGAGCAGACCUCCGUAUUUGGCUCUGGGAUCUGCUGAGGUUGUGUCUGUGUAUAAACUCUGUCACCCGAGAGGUCCGGGCUGAAGGUCUGAAGGCUGCGACAGACCUACAUGCAAAGCACAAUAGACGAAACCUGAAGCCGUCCUCAAAGAGAACAGAAGGUUCAUGAUGCUCCUCAGUCUCUUUCUCAGGCUGAUUAAUGCCUAUAAACGAGAAGAGGAGCGACAUGAAUCCGAGGGCGACGGCGGCUUUUUCUAACAGUAAUGACAGAUCUCUCACAAUUUAAUUUCCUUUAGUGAAGCUCUAUAACUUAUUUUCUUGAAUGCAUAAUAAAGUAAUAAGAAAGUCUGUGAACUGAGAGACCAGUAGGAUUUUGGAUUUUGUUUCAAAUUUGUAACUUUCCUUGGUGUUUUUUGAGCUUCAUAAAAAUAUCAAGUAACGUUAUUUGAUAUGCAACAAUUAAAUAGAUAUUAAUAUUAGGAGAUAUUUUUAAUCAUUUUUAUUCAUUUGGCUGUUAAUUUAUGUAUGACUUAUUAUGGGAUUCCACUUCACAACCAGCUUCAUGAAGGCGUAUAAGUAGACAAACUGAUUCUUCCAAUUUUUCUCUGCAAAAGUAUCUUCUGUAAAAAAAGUAAAAGUAUCUUGCCAUCGCUCCGAUUUGACUCUCCCUGCCGGCCCCUGGAGGAUGGGCUCCCCCUUUGAGUCUGGUCCCUCCCAAGGUUUCUUCCUUCUAGGGAGUUUUUCCUU